GCCGGACUCCCGCCUGGUUCCACCCCUGUCCCCGGCGACGCCCCCGUGGAGCGCUCCGGCAUGUUGUUCCGCGUGCCCUCCGCCCCUACCCCAAGACCCCAGCAGAGGCGAGCGCUAGGGACCCCCAGAGAGGAAGUGGGUGAUGGAUGGUCGUUCCUUGACGCGUUGAGGCUGCAGUCAGGAUUUGGCGCUGUCUCGUCUGUGCCCGGCUUAUUAUGAAGGCAGCUCAGACUGAGAAGACUAGUGCCGGCUGCUGGCCUCGGGCCAUUCCAAUUGGCUGAUGUGAGAAGGAGUCUGGGAGUCGGCCGCGUUUCUCUGGUUGCACUAGGAGCUGAAGCGGCAGAAGUGGCAGCUCUGCCCCCUAGUGGACGUGCGCAGCAGAGCGCCCCUCUCCAAUUUCAGAAGCACCAUCACUGUGGUGCAGGAUAGGGGAAGAGAUUUACUGUGUUCACGCUGGUGGAAAUAGCCAAACUUGGCAGAAAAAAAAAAUCCCAUGUUUUCCCCUCUCUAUAGUUUAUUUCUGAGGAGCUGGUCGAUUUGAACACAGGAAACA